rnacentral:tRNA from 1 species
UGUGGCUCAGUGGCAGAGCGCUUGUCUGGAAAGUACGAGGCACUGGGUUCGAUCCUCAGCA